CCCUUAGACGUUCUGGGCCGCACGCGCGCUACACUGACGAAGGCAACGAGCUUUCCUUUACCGUAAGGUACGGGUAAUCUUUUGAAACUUCGUCAUGCUGGGGAUAGAUCCUUGCAAUUUUUGAUCUUAAACGAGGAAUGCCUAGUAAGCGCAAGUCAUCAACUUGCGUUGAUUACGUCCCUGCCCUUUGUACACACCGCCCGUCGCUACUACCGAUUGAAUGGUUUAGUGAGGCCUUCGGAUCCGCGACUCGUUUGUGGAGAAGUUGGACAAACUCAGUCAUUUAGAGGAAGUAAAAGUCGUAACA
rnacentral:rRNA from 1 species